GGGGGUAUAGCUCAGUUGGUAGAGUGAUUGCCUUGCAAGUAUAAGGCCCUGGGUUCAAUCCCCAACAACACCC
rnacentral:tRNA from 1 species